rnacentral:rRNA from 1 species
AUCUUGCGCAAUGGGCGAAAGCCUGACGCAGCCAUGCCGCGUGAAUGAUGAAGGUCUUAGGAUUGUAAAAUUCUUUCAGUAGGGACGAUAAUGACGGUACCUACAGAAGAAGCCCCGGCUAACUUCGUGCCAGCAGCCGCGGUAAUACGAAGGGGGCUAGCGUUGCUCGGAAUUACUGGGCGUAAAGGGCGCGUAGGCGGGUCGUUUAGUUAGAGGUGAAAGCCCAGGGCUCAACCCUGGAAUUGCCUUUAAUACUGGCGACCUAGAGUAUGACAGAGGUGUGUGGAACUCCGAGUGUAGAGGUGAAAUUCGUAGAUAUUCGGAAGAACACCAGUGGCGAAGGCGACACACUGGGUCAUUACUGACGCUGAGGCGCGAAAGCGUGGGUAGCGAACAGG